GUUUCCUCUGAUGGAGAGACGCUAAGGAAGCCGUUAACUCCAGGUUUGUCUUUUUAUUUCAGAUACUGAAUGGUGGUCGCAUCGUUUGACGAAUGCAGUAAUGAAAAAGGUGCCGUAAAAUAAAGAGAUUGUGCGUCCUGGCUUUUAUUAGUGGCAGUCUGACCAGAUGGGCCGUCCCUGGCCUCUUUGAUUCUCUUCCAGCAAAGAGUGAAGUUAUCCAAGACCUGCAAGGUUUUGAGAAGAGAGCCACACAGCUGAGCUGAGAUGUACUCACCGGGUGCUCAGUGAGGCUCACUUACUAUGAUGAAGGAGCUCACUUCCACAUGAGCCAGGCGCUGAGACCGAUUCAACGUUUUGCCCCAGAGAGAUCGCUCGUGUCCACAUGUCCUGAUCUUCAAGUUUGCUUGCGUUGGAACGGGGUAUUUGAAGAAAAAAAGAAAGACACCUUUAUCAAGAAAAAGAAGAAAAAGACCCCUUCCCCCUUCCGCGUUGUUGUUCAAGUUCCCCUGCUGGACUUGGAAAAGGGGGUCUUCGAAGCGGGUCCUCAACUCAUGGCCUGACGCCUUUUUAGAGAAGAACCCGGAGAAAGGACCUGGACUCUCUGUGCCCUCGCCUUUUGGUCGAGCUUUCGAGGCUUGCGGGGGACGGGCCGUUGGCCGAUCAACCAACAAACGUUCGUUGAACAGUUCCUACUAAGUGAAGACUACACGGAGGAAGGCCACUCUCCCCAUCGGGCAGAUGAGACAACUGAGGCGCAGAAAUAGAAUUGACCGAGAUCACGUGGUCAGUGGAACAAGACGUCUACAGCCCAGGCUCUCUGACUCCUUUUGCUUCUGCAAGUUUAAAUAAGUUUGUGUAACCUUAGAUUCAUUCCUUUUUCAUUUCCCCAGAAAAAUGGAGAUAAUUUCUUGUUUAAUAUCGGAGUUCCUCAGACUUCCUGAAGUUCACCCCAAGAUAAAGACAGCCC